AACGCGAAGAACCUUACCUGGGUUUGACAUGGAUCGGGAGCGCUCAGAGAUGGGUGUGCCUCUUUUGGGGUCGGUUCACAGGUGGUGCAUGGCUGUCGUCAGCUCGUGUCGUGAGAUGUUGGGUUAAGUCCCGCAACGAGCGUAACCCUUGUUCACUGUUGCCAGCACGUUAUGGUGGGGACUCAGUGGAGACCGCCGGGGUCAACUCGGAGGAAGGUGGGGAUGACGUCAAGUCAUCAUGCCCCUUAUGUCCAGGGCUUCAUGCAUGCUACAAUGGCUGGUACAGAGAGUGGCGAGCCUGUGAGGGUGAGCGAAUCUCGGAAAGCCGGUCUCAGUUCGGAUUGGGGUCUGCAACUCGACCUCAUGAAGUCGGAGUCGCUAGUAAUCGCAGAUCAGCAACGCUGCGGUGAAUACGUUCCCGGACCUUGUACACACCG
rnacentral:rRNA from 1 species